CAAAUGGAGCAUGCCAACUCUCGCUGAUCAGGGAUCCUAAGAAGAGGGACCAUCAGCUUCCCUACCUGCACCUGCGGGCAUGAAACACAUGCCCCGUGAAAUAGGCAUCAAUACGGAAAAUGUACUGAGUAUGUAAGGCAUGAAAAUUAGUACGGAAAAGACACUGGAAUAAAGAAACACAUCUUUAAAUCUGAAUAAAUUUGUAAAUCCUGAAACGUUUAUAAUGUCAUGCACACGUAUAUAAAUGUCGUGUCAUGCAUAGGUAUGAGUGUACAUAAUAUCAUCAAGCCACUAAGGGCAUCCCAUCAUAUCAUCUCGGCCACUGUGGGCAACAUCAUCAAUAUAUAGCAGUUGAUCAAGUGGUGAUGCGUAUAUAACGCCGUAACCUUUUCCCAUAUCCCAUAUACAUGUAUUUACAUAUAUACGCGUAUAUAACGCCAUCAGGUCAUGAGUCAAUGCACAUGUAUGAAAUGCAUGAAAAAUACGUAAUAAUCUUAAUAUUCCUUCCGGAUAAAUUUUUUUCCAUCUGCGUAUUAUUCUGAGACCCAUGAAUAGAAAAUAAUAAUAAUUUUCAUGGGAAUCAAGAAUAUAGACACCGCUAAUAAUUCUAUGAAUAGAGUAAUUUAUGGAAACUAUGUGUUUGCUCGUUUCUUCAGUAUAAUUUGGACCAUGCCAAAAGAAAGAAGGGAGAGCCUUAACAUACCUGUUUCUGGAAUUAUUUGAACGAAUCUACUUCUGCGAAAUUUAUACUGGAUUUUUUUGAAAUUGGAACGAACUUGUUAUGCUUGAGUGUUUGUUUGCACUAGAGAACUUGUUAUGCUUGAGUGUUUGUUUGCACUAGAGAAUGGAUUUAAAUUUUAAGCUUGAUCCAAUGUUUUUUUGAAGCUUCUGUUUCCAACGUUUUUGAUUCAAAUCAAGGAAUGAAUUGAAGCUUGGUUAAAGAUUCUGUUUCUCGUUUUUUCUACUUUCAGAAAGGAUCCAAUGGAUCUUAAAUGUUAUAUCAAGUUCAAGACUUAUCUUAAGUCAAUCAAAUCUUACUAAAUGACUCAUUCAACUUUACACGUUACUUUGUCAUGCAACACAUAUGAC
rnacentral:lncRNA from 1 species